rnacentral:lncRNA from 1 species
CUUUAAUAACUGGUCAGUGUUGUUCCACAAACCAAAGGUACUUUCUCCCCAUCAAAUAUUGAAAACAUUUUGGAUAUCAAAUGAGUUCUGCUCCUUUCUCCACCAUAAUAGAAAUAAUUAGCCAGUGUCUCGGUGUAUGUGGUAUAUUUUUCUUAACGAAUCAGUACUUCUUUUUUUCACAACAUUAGAUUACUUGCUUGCUUUCUGACCAAGUAACAAGGAUAUCUUACUUUUUUUUUCAGAAGAGUGGACUGCCUCUACAAAGAUCAGCCGAGCGCAGGCGUAGCUCUGUCGUAGUGAGUCUGCCGGGACUCGAGGUGUUCCCUGGAGACCUCCUGGUGUCAGACAGUGCCUUGGACUACCUGCCCCACGCAGCCCUACUGCUAAAUGCAGAGUCCAAAAAGCCAAGGUGGCCGUUUGCCAAAAGAGGAGUUAGUAAAUCUUGGCACGAGUUUAUAAAGGCUCAACAGACUGAGCAGAAAGAUGUCAACAGCCGGUUGGAAGUGAAAAAAGAAGAAGCGGUGUGGGAACUUUUCACAAGUGAAUGCACUUACUUUCUGGAUCAUUUGCUGGUUCUCAAGAUGGUAACUUAAGAUUUCAUUUCUCAAGAAUGAUGAAACAUUAUUUGCCCUGUU